AUGGCUGAGGAGAUCAGAAAGCCCCACCUAGGAGUCAAGCACCCAGUGGAUCUAUUCUCUGUUCCUUCAGCCAAGCACCCACCCCUGUAGCCGGCUCCCGGGAUCCUUGCCAGGUUCCUGCCCUCCCUAGGUCCAGGAGCCUGCAGGGGAGACCUAGGUGGCACUGAGCUCCAGGACUUCGCCGGCUGCAUCCCUGCACGUGCACACAGGCAGCAAUUUUUAAGGCACAGAAUGGCCAGAGAUGGUUCUGUUAACUUGUCAAAGGGCAGAAAUGAGACAAAAGAAACAGGAGUUAUGAACAGAUCAGCCAUCAUCUGGUCAACUCUGCAUGUGAGGGUACUACACUGUCAGCAGCUGGCUGUCUUCUGCCAUCUCUCCAUCAAGCUAUCAUCUUCCCACUCCCAUGGCAGAACAAAUGAUUCAUGUAGUGAAUCCAAGAAUUACCCAUGAUGCUUCUACCCUAACUCUCCUAGCCUUCAUCUAACCAAUUAACAUAUCUGAAGGAAAUUUGACGUCUCUCACUUCUUACCAAGCUUUUAGUUCUAAUUUUCCCAAUGCCUAUGGCUCCUAUUUCACAUGCAACAGAUUCCAUACAAAUUCAGGGGAUUCAUAGAUGCAACCAUUGGGGGAGGAGCAUGCCAAUAGAUUCUAGAUUAACAACCCAGGUCAUUGGCUGCUAUAAAUGAGUGUUUAUAUCUGUUUAAUAGUUUUAGAUGUUAAGCUACUUAGGGACAGGGUUCCUCCUUGUAAUUAUCUCUGUAGGGCACCUGGCACGGAGCCUCAUAUAGUUAAUCCCUUAAUUAAGUCUUUUUGAAUAUCAUAUGGAGAAGAAAAUGAACCAUUCAUCCAAUAAAUAUUUAUUGAACACA